ensembl:lncRNA
AUGCGCGUUAACGUCUGCGUCAGUAACGACAUGGAUUCAGAGGGGUGUGCAGCAAACGUAAACAAUCCCCCUGCAGAGAUUCCCUGCCAGCAGCAUGGACAAAAUAUGCAUGAUUCAGAGGCUAGCAGACCAUACACAGAUCCUGACAAUGAUGAAAGACCAUUUAGUAACACUCAGGAUUCAAGCGUGCAGCCACUCAUAGACAGAUCUGAGACUUUACAACUGGACUUUCAGGAUAGCCAGUUGUCACCUGCACUUACCCUGCAUCCAUGCCUGGACAAAUCUCACCUUCUUUCUGAUUCCACAUUUUUUCAGCAUACAGAUGCAGAAUUUGUCCCUCUUCGGGGAUGUCCUGACUUCUCAGUUAUGACUGAGAGAUGCCCCAGGACUUCAAAUGUAGCUGUAACUGAUGAUUCCCACCACCAAAAUACUAUUCUUUACCAGGCUGGACUUUCCCAGCAUCCGUUGGAGGUACCAACAGCCCUGUCUGGUGAAAAAAGCUGCUGUUCACUCUCCCAGCACAGCCUGUCUCCUGGAGACUAUUGCAAAGGGCUUGAGGAUCAAGGGAGCGUUUCUUAUGGUGCUGAGGACAAAAUCAUCAGACAUAUGGAAGGAGAGGAGCAGACCACUGCUCAGCAGCUUAUUGAGGGAAUGUCUGCUCGGCUCUUGUUAGAGUCCAGGGAAGAGGAUGUUAUUGUGGCUGUUAGUGACAGCAGUGCCAUUUCCUCCACCUCUGAACCUGUCUCACUUCACCAAAACAUAGACAAAAGCCAGUUAGAUCCUUCCAUGAAUCUUCAAAAAGGCAGAGAGCAGCCCCAAGGGGGCUCAUUAUCAUCAUUUCAGAAGGCCGCAGAUGUUUCAAAUAUAACUUUUCGUGAUUCACGGAUGCAUUCACACCAGACAACUGACCAUCUCCAUGAUCAGCUUCUGUCUGCAAGACAAAGAGGCUCCAUCUCGGCACCAGCAAGUAGGCACCAUAGUGGGAACAAAAGCUCUCAUAGUGGAAUGUGUGUCACACCAGCUGGUGAAGGUUUGAUGCAUGUACCAGAUCUGCAGAGAGUGCUCUGGAGCUCCGGUCAUCUAACAGCGGCAGAUGGUUCAUUCUUGAGCUCUCAACCUNACAGAAAAAUGAAAAAUUCAUAUGUAUUUUGUAGAGAUAUUUUUUAGGUUGUAGAGAGACCUGUCUAGUAACAGUGAUGACUUUGCCUUGGUGGCGCUGUUAUAUGGGGAGGAAUUUGAGCCUGACCGAUAUAGAUAUUUUGGGGGGCCGAUACCGAUAUUAGGGGACAAAAAAA